GACGAACGCUGGCGGCGUGCUUAACACAUGCAAGUCGAACGGAAAGGCCCUGCUUUUGUGGGGUGCUCGAGUGGCGAACGGGUGAGUAACACGUGAGUAACCUGCCCUUGACUUUGGGAUAACUUCAAGAAACUGGGGCUAAUACCGGAUAGGAGCUCCUGCUGCAUGGUGGGGGUUGGAAAGUUUCGGCGGUUGGGGAUGGACUCGCGGCUUAUCAGCUUGUUGGUGGGGUAGUGGCUUACCAAGGCUUUGACGGGUAGCCGGCCUGAGAGGGUGACCGGCCACAUUGGGACUGAGAUACGGCCCAGACUCCUACGGGAGGCAGCAGUGGGGAAUAUUGCACAAUGGGCGGAAGCCUGAUGCAGCAACGCCGCGUGCGGGAUGACGGCCUUCGGGUUGUAAACCGCUUUCGCCUGUGACGAAGCGUGGGUGACGGUAAUGGGUAAAGAAGCACCGGCUAACUACGUG
rnacentral:rRNA from 1 species